UUUUUGGGGGGGGGGGGGGGGGGGGUGGGGGGGCACUGCCCCCAUGUCCAAAAAUAGCUCGGUCCCUGAUUCAUGGUAUUACGUAAAUUCAAACUUACUUUUGUUAUAGUUUCUAUGUUUAGAUGCAUGAAUUUGUAUGUCAUUUAAAUAUAAACUCUAAUGGUCUGUUUAGAUUAAGGGGGAGGGAGGGGGAGUAGAGUAGAUUUAACACAAAAUUAGCUUAUUUUUUAGCCAACUAUACUCUACUCCCCUUCACUCUCCCUCCCCUCCAUCCAAACAGGCCAUAAGGUAUAACUGAUUAGAAUCCAAUUGCAUUAUUGAUUGAGCAUCCACAAUACAAAAAAAUUGGACUUGUUUCAAUUCACCCUUUUUGAGGGUUUAACAGUUUAACCCUUUGAAAAAAAAAAAACCAAUUUCCAUGUAGUGCCACCUUAAUAUAUUAUAUAUGACUAAAAUAAAAGAUGUUUGUAGUUGGAACCCUGUCUCCUCCCUUCCUCACCAUCAACCUAUCUAAAAAAAAAGUUUCAUAAAAAAAAAACCUAUCUAAAAAAUUUAAGAUAAUUUUUAAGCUAUAUUACAAAUUGCACCCUCUAAUUUGUCUAAAUUCUAAAGUUCAAUUCAGUCCUGUUUUAGGAUUAUUCAAUUCAUUCCUCCCAUUAUUGCGGGUAUAAUUUAAAAAUGUUCUAUUUUUAUUAAAAAUAGUAAAGUCUCUCACCAAGCACAUGUAAAGAGACUAGUUGUUUAUUAUUAUCAAAUUAAUAAAUAUUUUUUUAAUUUCUUUCUAACAAUAAUAAUUUUUAUUUGAACAUGUUAUGCACAUCAUUUCCCACAUGUAUCUUAUAUCUAUAUGUUCAAACUCUACAACGGGGUUUAGGUUCAAUCACACUAGGAGGACUGUAAAUAUAGGAAUGUCAAUUGGUCAAUAUUUUACAUGAUUUGAAUCAUUUGAUAGGUGAUACUAAUAUAGGGGCAAUCUCGAGUCAAGUUGUGUAUAAAAAUUCAAACUCUUAGCAUUCUUUUUCAAAAAUUCCUAAUUUCUCUCAAGUCUUACCGAUGCUUAGGUCUCCUCCAAAUUUCAAUUCCAUUUCUAUGAGCCAUCAAAAUUCAGAACAAGUCAAUCUUAUUGUUGAUCUCAUACGAUACCCUCCUCAAAUUAAUUAUCCUAGGCAAUCCACAUUACCUCCCCAACCUUAUUGGUUGUCUACCUUCUUAAUGGCCCAAGGUUUUUUGCUACCAAAUACAUGAUACUUCGCUUUUCACAUGCUGUCAUUGUGAUAUUUGAACGGUUGAACAUAUGUUCUUGUGUAUGUGGAUGAUAUUAUUGUCAAUAGCAAUUAGUUGUAGAACUAACGGAUCUCGGUUCCAUUCAUUACGUUCUUGGCAUUGAGGCUACUUUCAAUUAAAUUUGAUAUCAGCUAAACUUCAUCUCUCUCAAUGGUGAUAUAUUUCUGACUUGCUUAGUUGCUAGAAAAAUCUGGUAUGGAAAAAUUUACCAAGUUAUGCUUAUUCCCUACACAUGAACUUCCACAAAACUUUCCAAAACUUAAUGGGAAGUCUCUUGAUGAUGCAUCAUUCUAUUGUCAAAAUUGUAGGGGCACUAUGGUGUGAUAAUGUGGGGUUAUUUGAACUUGAUGGUGCUUGCAUAUUAAAUAAUGCUAGGAUUUUAAAUUUUGUGCAACAAUUCGAGGGAAGUGCUAGCAAGAUUUGCCUUUAUACCCUAAAUAGACUAGUCAAGGUACAAUUGGGAGACUUCAUAAAUAUUUAUAAACCCAAGCUCCACCUAAUAAAAAUCUAAUAUAAGACUCAGCACAUGCCCAUGUAUUCAACACACUUAAAUAAUCCAAUCCAAUUAAAUUCACAAUUUAGGGUAUCACAUUAUGAAUAUUUGAUUUAUUAUGUCGUUGUACAGAUCAAGAAUGCAUUAACUUAUCAUGCAAUUACAUGUAUAAAUACAAUAGCUUUCACUAUGAGAUUACUCCAAAAUUGUUUUUUAUUCCAAAUCACAUAGGGAUAACAUUAGCUCUUUCAUUGUACACGUCCUAUGACACACAGUAAAAAUAUUCAAUCUUUAUUUGGGACAACAAACAAAUGUAAUAUAUAAUUUAAAAAAGAAAAGUUAAAGCCAAAAAGGAAUUAUGGAAAUCAAAUGGAAGAGAGGGAGAAACUAUGAGUGCAUCCCAUCUAGUACUUGUUGACAUAACAUUCUGGAGGAAACCCUUGAGGAAAGCGCUUUGAAUCUGUACAGUAAUUGUAGAUCAUGUAAUUGUCCUGAACCCAUUUCAGCUUCCCCUGGUCACUGUAAUCAAGCGUCUGCCAGAGCCAACCAUUGUUGUUGAGGUUAGAAUUUGGAGUAUUGCAAGAAGUUAUGGUACCAUAAUAUGAAACACAAGCAUUCUUGUCAUUGAAAUUCGUAUAGGAUGCAGUGAAGGGUGCUUGGGUCCAAUCUAUCUUGACAAGUCCACCUCUUGUUGCCCAGUUAUCAGCAUCCCAAAUACUAGAGUAUAGUUUCAUUGGCUGGUAACUUGGGAAAGGAAUACCACUUGACUCAAGGUUCUUGAACUCUCUAAUGGGGAUGCCAUCUACAUAGAAGCUAAAAUAU